GUCCUCCCGCCUGCGGUAGUUCUCCAGGUGCGAGAAGUUGGUGGAGAACAUGGCGUCGAAGGUGAAGAUCUUCUGCUUGAUGGUGCCGCCGUCCGUCACCUGCACAGAGACAGAGGCCGCCACCGGACAUUUGGCAAGUGCUGGACUCUGGGUCGUCACAGCUGGGGAGGGGAUUUGGGUCCUGGCAUCCAGACGCAGAGGCGGGGGACGCGGCGACCAUCUUGCAACACACAGACUGCCACGGCGCGGGGGGCCCAGCCUGGGAGGCAGCAGGACGGACGACGUGUCCCGGGGCCUGAAGGGCACAGGGACUGGGCCGAGGUCCCCUGCUGGGUCCUUGGGAGGCCCUGGCUCUCUGGGCAGGCUCCAGGCCCAUCCUGCCAGGAUAUUUUAACUGAACAGGGUCUUGGCCGUGAGCCGCGAGGCAGAGGCUCCCUCCACCGUCCGCGGCUCCGACCCCCAGCUCAGCACCUGGGAUGGCAGCCUGAGCCCCCAGGCUGAGGAACAGGAGGGACCCUCGGCUUCCCAAGGCAGAGUCACCGAGACGGAGCCCGCCCACACCGCCGUCCACCUGGGGCGCUCUGACCAGCGGGCGGUGGCCGCGGACCAGGCCUGCAGGGAGGCUCCAGAGGAGCCUGUGCUAGGCGUUCUAGGGGUCCCGGCAGGACACUGUUCUGAACAGGAAAACGUCCCAAUCACGCAGAGGAGGCGGCUUGACCAGACACGGGCGCUGUACGUGGCUGAGCAAAAGACUCCUGCUGGGACUGACAGUGUGCUGGGACCCGGCCUCCAUAAUGCACCCUGGCCUCCAUAAUUUCACUGGAUCCUCGAGACCGCGACUCCAGGCGCUAUGGCGCCUGGACACGCCCAGGGCUGUUGCGUAACUGAACUGGGAGCUGCAUCUCUUCACCCCCAUUUUGCAGAUGAAGAAACUGAGGCUCAGAAGCAAGUGAACUUCCCAAGCAGCAGCGGCGGAGCUGCCCCUCAGCAUGGGUUAGUGGGUGGACUGUGAGAGGCUCGUGGCCGUCACAGAACCCGAGAUUCAGAUCCAGCUCCACCACUCAGCUUACUGCUGUGUGACCCGGGAGGGGUCUCUGGGCUUCAGUCUCUUCACCUGCAAAGUGGGAGCCUACCUGCAAGGUGCUUGAGUGAGAAUUCAGCCCGUAAGAGCGUGCGCACAGGCAGCCCAGUGUACUGCCCGGCACAGGGUCUAAUAACAGAGAAGGAGUGAUCAUUUGGAAGUCUCCUUUUAUCCAUGGGGGUCAGUUCCAAGAUCCCAAUGGUGCCUGAGGCCUCAGAUAGCACUGAACCCUCUAGAUACUGUGUUUCCCUAUAUAUACCUACUUUUGAUAAAGUUGAAUUUGUAAAUUAGGCAUGGUAAGAGAUCGACAACGACAAUAAUAGAAUGUGUGAAUUAUAACAAUGUGAUUAUAUUUAUAUAUAUGCAAGUUAUAGGAAUGUAAUCUCUCUCUCUCUCUUUUGUGCAUUCGCAUAGAAGACCGUGACAACCUGAUAACAGAGUUGGCUACUAACAGGAGGGUAAUAUAUACAGUGUGGAUACUCUGGACAAAGGAAAAAUUCAUGUCCCAGGCAGGAUGGAAUGGAAUGGUGUGAGAUUUCAUUCCCCUGUUCAGAAUGGCGAAAUAUUUGAAAUUUAUGGAUUAUUUGUUUCUAGAUUUUCCAUGUGGUACUAUCAGAUUUUGGUUGACCAUGAGUAACUGUGACCAUAGAAAAUGAAGUCCGAGAUGAGGGGAAGCUACUGCAGCUAGCCCUCAAUCAGUGCUUAUUGCACUGCACGCUAGGUAUUGUUGGCAAACGGGAACUCGUGUGACUGUGUGACAAAAUAUUCCGUGCAUAUUUGCUAUUAUUAAUUUUUACUUAUGUCCAAAGUAGGGAGGUGGCCAGAGUGGGUAGCAGAGGGAUAACCGGAGCUUAGGAAAGAGUGGCUCUUUCCCCUCCGGCUCUGACAGUGCCUCUGCCGUGAAUCCCCCGUGACCCACGACGGAGCUGUCUCGAGAGGCGGGCGGCUGGGCUGUGAAUCCCGCAGCUCACCUUGGCACG